GCCCAGCUCCACCUGCAAACACCUCAGGUUGGGGCAGGCUCUGAGCCCCGCAAAGCUGCUCAAGGUAACUCUACUAUCACUUCCUGCCCGGGCCACCCAGCCUCCUCUCACUCUGGGACUCACUUCCUGUUGACUGCCAGCCAGCUCCAUGGCAUAGAGACGCAGGACUGCCAGCUGUGAGACCAGCAAGCCCCAGGGGCCAGACAACCCAGUCACUCACGCGCAUGGAUGGCCUGGAAAGGAGACACACAGUGCCCCCCCCCAAAGAUACUCAUUUUGCCUAUUACCUGGGCAGCAUCUGGUGGCAUCUUAGAGGGUACCAACAGCGGCUGCAGCUGCAGGUGACAGUUUCAGAGUGGGAAUUGCUGCAGUGAACACUCUCACUUCUCCUCCCUCGGUGGGGGCUGGCGGGGGGGCUGGGGAGGCAGCUGUGGUCGUGAAGC